UACGUAGGGUGCAAGCGUUAAUCGGAAUUACUGGGCGUAAAGCGUGCGCAGGCGGUUAUGUAAGACAGAUGUGAAAUGCCCGGGCUUAACCUGGGAACUGCAUUUGUGACUGCAUGGCUAGAGUGUGUCAGAGGGGGGUAGAAUUCCACGUGUAGCAGUGAAAUGCGUAGAUAUGUGGAGGAAUACCGAUGGCGAAAGCGGCUCUCUGGGACGGUACUGACGCUGAGACGCGAAAGCGUGGGGAGCAAACAGG
rnacentral:rRNA from 1 species